rnacentral:rRNA from 1 species
UACAGAGGUGGCAAGCGUUGUUCGGAAUUACUGGGCGUAAAGGGCGCGUAGGCGGCCUUCUAAGUCAGACGUGAAAUCCCCAGGCUUAACUUGGGAACUGCGUCUGAUACUGGAUGGCUUGAGUGCGGGAGAGGGAUGUGGAAUUCCAGGUGUAGCGGUGAAAUGCGUAGAUAUCUGGAGGAACACCGGUGGCGAAGGCGGCAUCCUGGACCGACACUGACGCUGAUGCGCGAAAGCCAGGGGAGCAAACGGGG